UUCCUGUAUUAUCGACCUUGGCGUUUUAUUCUCUCUGUUUGUAUGUGUGUUUACAAUAUAUAAUAUUAGUUCAUUUUUUCAUGAAAAAAAAACAUUAAAUUGAACAACAUAAUUGUUGAUGAAGGAUUAAUCAUCUUAUUUGUACCUGUGCGGGAAAUAGAAAUACAUAUUUGCAUUGUGAUACGGGACAUUGGCAUAAGGGAAAUCAUUAGCCCCGAAGAUUCUGACAGCUCGAAAGAGGUUAUGUUUGAUGAAAGAUUUUUAAAAGGAACAUUCCUGCAAUAAUCUUCGAUCAAAAGCAUUGACAAUAACUGCAAACCUUGUGAGAAGGCUGUGUGUAACUGAGUGAGGUAAUAAUUAGAGAUGCGCAUUCUUUUUGGAUCAAUGCCAGGAAAUCUUCAAGCAUUACACCCUCCAAUAGACUGAAUACUUUGGUCUCCGUAUAAUUCCCAUCAACAGCACAAGAAGAGAUACAAUUGAUGAUUUAUUAAAAUGAAAGGGAUUAUGAAGAGGUUUGAGAGUAGAAUACUGGUGAUAAGAAGGUUCGAGUCCUGUGCAAAAGGAGUAACGAUUAUACACUGAACCUCAAGGAGACUCAAUUGACAAGGGCAGCUCUCUAUCAGAUUGCUAUAUAUCAGUCUCAAUGGGUCUACAACUGUCUCAAGGGACCCGAGGGGUUAAUGAUUCACCGGCAUAGCGAUGAGCAUGCCCUACUUGAGGUUCAUCUUGCUCCAGAGAUAAAUGUCCUUGUUUUGUUGGGGACUUUGAUUGAUGAAACCGUGGAUUCCCGAAUCGAGCGGAACCUGAUGGGGAACUCUGCAGGAUUUAAAAAGCGAAGAACAGCUGAAGGGACAGUAGGAGAAUGGGCCCUACAGUUCUACUACAAAUGGUUAUUGUACUUUCAAAAUGAAUUAUUCGUAUCAGUUUCGAUGAAUUUUCAGUUUUGCUAUCAAUAUAAAAGAAAAGCAGCGAAAACUAUCGACAUUCUGUCCUGACAAUCCAUCAUUGAGGCGCUUUGGAUUCAAGCGCUUGCAGGAUACGCUAAAGUAUUAUCCAAAACUCUGGAAUGUGAAAUGUCCUUGUGGAGCAGUCAGGCGUGAGGAAAAUGUUUCUAAUUGUCAUGUAUAUCUGGAGCUAGAUUGCAGAGAGAGAGCAACCGAUCCUGAUCGUACUUGCAAGCUCUACGAUCUGCCUACAUCUUUCAACUUGAGCAGAGAAUACAGAUUAGCUGGAGUCAUCUCAUACGAUGCGACCUAUGAUCAUUUCGUGGCCUACUGUUGCCGUCGUACUGGAACGUGGGAGUACAAUGAUUGAUGGACUACUCAGUAAAGUAAAACCUGUGAAAGGAAAUCCGGUGAUACAACCUGAAUGUGCCUUGUAUCUGAUUAAUCAGUGAGCAGGAACGUUCACUACGCUCAACAUUUCAGUUUUCUGUGUCGCCAAAGCUAGUUCUUUAUCUUAAGUAUAUUAGUUAUAAUAUGAUUCUUAUCGAAUGUUAUUUGUUUAAAUAAAGAUUUUAUUGAAAAAAUGCAGGAAGACGAGAUAGUGAACCAAGAGUAAAUGGUUUUUAGUUUGACUGUUUUAAUACAAACUCUCAUGUUUGAACAUUAUUUCGUGAUGAAAGUAAACUGUAAAUAGAACAAUAUAAAAGACUGUUGUUGUACCUGCAACGCAAAGCCUCUCCCCCCAGACGAUACAGCUUAUAUGCAUAAUUUACAUCUUUUCUCUUUAGUUCUUUCAUGAAUUCAUUAUCAAAUACGUAGUGCUGUAAUUAUUGGAAGUUUCUUGAGAAGGAAAAGUUUGAUUUAGGAGAAUUACGUGCAAGAAAAUUAUUAGGAGUGAAAUAACACAUUCUGUUGAUUCAAAUGUUUCAUAAAAUUUCUUUAUUCAAAACAGCGAUGAGAUACGGAAAGUGGAUGGAAAAUCACUUACGUAUUUUUUUUCUUGAAAGAUGAUACGAUUUCGGAAUUAUAUCAAAUUAUGAUGUCACAAUGCUACGUAUUUCUGUUUUUGCAAAACGCUAUCAUAUGUUGUCAUUCUCAAUCGCUCAUCACUUCAUAGUUCUCAAUUAGUCUUCGAAAUAAGAGACACGUGUCCUCUCAUGAAGUAGGCACAGUUCCAAACAAAAAAAUGUCUUCUCGUGACCCUAAUUGAAUCAAAAUUUCUUUGCCCAUUUUUGACGUGGAAAAAUAAAAAAAAAAUCGAAAAACGUACAAAUGAUGGAAUACGAAAAAACACGAAAACAUCAUACAAGCUUCCACCUUUUUAUACUAUUUGAUGAUGAAAGUGAACUGGAAUUAAAACAAUAUAAAAAAACUGGUUCCAUACCUACAGCACUAAUUCUUUUGCUCCAGGGGAUGUAGUUUGCAUGCACGAUUUACGUUUCUCUUCCUUCAAUCUAAAUUUUCUUCGUCAAUGCAACUGAACAUCUAGGACCACAUGUAUGAGAAGUUGUGAUGCCUGCUUUACGUGAAACAAAUUAUCAACAGAUGGUGAUAUGAUACAUCCCACUAAUUGUGUCCUAGCAUGGAAUUCC